AUCGAACGCUGGCGGCAGGCCUAACACAUGCAAGUCGAGCGAGCGGCGGACGGGUGAGUAAUGUAUGGGGACUGCUCGUUAGACGGGGAUAACUACUGGAAACGGUGGCUAAUACCGCAUACUAUCGGAUAACCCAUAUGGGAUUAGCUAGUAGGUUGGGUAACGGGUCACCUAGGCGACGAUCUCUAGCUGGUCUGAGAGGAUGAUCGGCCACACUGGGACUACGACACGACCCAGACUCCUACGGAGGCAGCAAUGGGGAAUAUUGCACAAUGGGCGCAAGCCUGAUGCAGCCAUGCCGCAUGUAUGAAGGAGGCCUUAGGGUUGUAAAGUACUUUCAGCGGGGAGGCGUUACCCGCAGAAGAAGCACCGGCUAACUCCGUGCCAGCCGCCGCGGUAAUAC
rnacentral:rRNA from 1 species